CACUAUUAUAGAAGUUCUGUGUUUAAUCUUCAACUAAUAUAUCUUCGACGGCUAACAGUUCUUGUGGACAGCCCACUCAAAAUUCUGACAUGAAGAAUGGUAAACAGAAUUGAAGCAACUAAGACUGCAGGUAAGAUAAUAAUAGCACAGGAGGAUCAUGAGAUUUCCUCUUACCAAAGACACUGAGGAUGCACCUACAUAUAAUGCAACUAACUCUGACAAUGACCUCAACACUAGCAGCACACCUCUUCCACGGCCAGAGAUAUAAAAAAACCACAUUAGAAGGGCAGGGGAGGCAAAGAUGCAGUUGACAAUCAAACACCUAGCAUGAUUACCCAUAAGCAGGAGGGAUAAUUACAGGUCUUCCUUAGUAGGGGAUCUGAUCUCAAAAGGGCACCUCCACCUACCCUGGAGACAUGCACUGGGAAGAUGAGCUACCAUAACACCUGGCUUUGAAAAAUCAGCAGGAUUCAUAACCAGGAGACCUGGAGGGCAAUAGGAAACGAGACUCCUCUCUUAGAAGGGUCAGAGCACUGUAUCACUGGGUUCAAGAGCAGCACAGAGGUAGCAGUUGAAAGUGUCUGGCUUAUACAUGAAGAUUUAUUGACUAAUUUUAGGGUAUGUUCUGGAGGCUAUGGAUCUGUGGACAUUCUCUCCAUGAACAGAUCUGCUAGUGCCCCACAUCAGGCUCCUUGCUCAGCAGGAAGUAUGCUUCUCCCUCUCCCCCCACCGCCCACCCCCGCCACUCGUGCUCGCUUGUGCUCUCUUUCAAAAAUAAAUUUAAGAAAGGGAAGGGACAGAGAAAUACCUUGCAAAUGGAUGCCACAAGAAAACCAGGGUAACAAUACUUAUAUUGGACAAAACAGACUUUAAAACAAAGACUGUAACAAGAGACAAAGAAAGACACUGUAAUAAUAAAAGAGAUGAACUAGUAAAAGGAUAUAACAAUUUUAAAUAUUUAUGCACCCAACAUGAGAACAGCGCAGUACAUAAAACAGUUAAUAACAAACAGAAAUAAUAGUAAUACUAUAGUAGUAGGGGACAUUAGCACCCCACUUACAUGGAUGGACAGAUAGUCCAAAAAGAAAACCAACAAGGAAACAGUGACUUUGAAUGACAAACUGAACCAGAUGGACUUAAUGUUAUUCAGAACAUUACUUCUUAAAACAGCAGAAUACAUAUUCUUUGCAAGUACACAUGGAACAUUACAAAACAUCAUAUAUUAGGCCACAAAACAAGCUUCAACAAUUAAAAAAAAUCAAACCCAUACCAUGCAUCUUUUCUGACCACGAUACUAUGAAACUAGAAAUCAACCACAAGAAAAAAAA
rnacentral:lncRNA from 1 species